rnacentral:rRNA from 1 species
CGAGUUAUCUGAACCUUCGGGGAACGAUAACGGCGUCGAGCGGCGGACGGGUGAGUAAUGCCUAGGAAAUUGCCCUGAUGUGGGGGAUAACCAUUGGAAACGAUGGCUAAUACCGCAUGAUGCCUACGGGCCAAAGAGGGGGACCUUCGGGCCUCUCGCGUCAGGAUAUGCCUAGGUGGGAUUAGCUAGUUGGUGAGGUAAGGGCUCACCAAGGCGACGAUCCCUAGCUGGUCUGAGAGGAUGAUCAGCCACACUGGAACUGAGACACGGUCCAGACUCCUACGGGAGGCAGCAGUGGGGAAUAUUGCACAAUGGGCGCAAGCCUGAUGCAGCCAUGCCGCGUGUGUGAAGAAGGCCUUCGGGUUGUAAAGCACUUUCAGUCGUGAGGAAGGUGGUGUAGUUAAUAGCUGCAUUAUUUGACGUUAGCGACAGAAGAAGCACCGGCUAACUCCGUGCCAGCAGCCGCGGUAAUACGGAGGGUGCGAGCGUUAAUCGGAAUUACUGGGCGUAAAGCGCAUGCAGGUGGUUUGUUAAGUCAGAUGUGAAAGCCCGGGGCUCAACCUCGGAAUAGCAUUUGAAACUGGCAGACUAGAGUACUGUAGAGGGGGGUAGAAUUUCAGGUGUAGCGGUGAAAUGCGUAGAGAUCUGAAGGAAUACCGGUGGCGAAGGCGGCCCCCUGGACAGAUACUGACACUCAGAUGCGAAAGCGUGGGGAGCAAACAGGAUUAGAUACCCUGGUAGUCCACGCCGUAAACGAUGUCUACUUGGAGGUUGUGGCCUUGAGCCGUGGCUUUCGGAGCUAACGCGUUAAGUAGACCGCCUGGGGAGUACGGUCGCAAGAUUAAAACUCAAAUGAAUUGACGGGGGCCCGCACAAGCGGUGGAGCAUGUGGUUUAAUUCGAUGCAACGCGAAGAACCUUACCUACUCUUGACAUCCAGAGAACUUUCCAGAGAUGGAUUGGUGCCUUCGGGAACUCUGAGACAGGUGCUGCAUGGCUGUCGUCAGCUCGUGUUGUGAAAUGUUGGGUUAAGUCCCGCAACGAGCGCAACCCUUAUCCUUGUUUGCCAGCGAGUAAUGUCGGGAACUCCAGGGAGACUGCCGGUGAUAAACCGGAGGAAGGUGGGGACGACGUCAAGUCAUCAUGGCCCUUACGAGUAGGGCUACACACGUGCUACAAUGGCGCAUACAGAGGGCGGCCAACUUGCGAAAGUGAGCGAAUCCCAAAAAGUGCGUCGUAGUCCGGAUUGGAGUCUGCAACUCGACUCCAUGAAGUCGGAAUCGCUAGUAAUCGUGGAUCAGAAUGCCACGGUGAAUACGUUCCCCCCCCGG